AGACACACUUCCUGCAGUAGUUAGGUAGAGUGGGGACCGGGAUGGAGCAAGUUUCAGCACCGAGUGUAACUUAGUAGUUUAGGGGUUCCCUGACACUAAUCUGCUUCUCUCCUCAAUUCAGACUCUGCAAUGGCUUGGGAGCUCCCAUGGGGAGGCUGAGCUACCAGUUGUCUCUAUUAAGCUACUACCAUCUCCUCUGCUGAGCUGAGGUACCUGCAAUGCCUGCUGAAACUGUUUCAAUUCAGCUAUGAGGGGAGGGCUCGCUCCCUCACACAGGGUGAUUUAAUGCGGAUGCUGCUAGUGUCAGGUGUGGCCAUCCUGGAAAUGAAUGAGGAAUUCGGAGAAGAGCUCAGAGAUUUCCCUGGGCGGCACCGAGAUUACUACACUGGCUGAAGGCACGGUCCCUACUGUGUUAUUAUCUGUGGAUGUGAUUUCCUCCAGCUCCCCGCCACAGACAGCUCUCUGAGUGAUGCUGGGAUGUGGCAGGCACCCAACGUGGUCACACUCCCUGGAGUGGAAGGACCCUCAUCAUUCACCAGUCACCCCUAAUAAAGAAAAUGUAUGCAAUUCGGACCCAGAACCCAAUCGAGAUGUCGUUCACCUUAAAGCUUCCAGAAGGUUUAUUGAGUGAUCCUCCAGCCCUGUUCAGGUCGGGACUUUCAAUCGACCGACUUGAAUUUUUCAGUCUCAGAGUGGUUCUGGCUACAGAGCACUGACUCGUGUUAACACAUCUCACAGGAGACUGACACGGGAAACCUGAGUGCCAGUUCAUUAAUUUACAGUGAGUAAUAUAAGUGUCAAGCCCACCAGAUGUUUGCUUCAUCCUGACCAACACGUCCUCUCCCUGUAGACCAGCUGCUUGGGAAGUGAAACCAUCAGAAGGAUGCUGAGGGUCGGGUCGGCAGAACGAGAGCCCUGAGCUUGAUAGGGCUACUGCCUGGUUACAUAAUGAGAUACACCUGGACGGCAGAGCAGGCACCGGGGCCAGGUGACAGGGGGCUCCUUCCUGGGACAGCUGCUUAGAUGAGUUUUGCAGUAUUCCUUGCUCACACCCCAAUAAAAAUGUCUUCCUCUCUAUCCAUUCCUUUCCACUUCUCCUCAUGCCAUAGCCUCCCUCCCUUCUUCCCCAGAAAUACUCAGUACACCUCCAUAGGGCAGUGCUGUGUGUACCCACAAGACACAAAGGCAGGCCUUUCAUUCAUCCUGGUCGAGCCCUUGUCCAAGGUCACCCUCCUCUUUGCUAGGGCUUCGCUUUGUUGGGCUCUGAGCACACUGUAUUGACUUUAAGAUCUCAUACCCAGGCUCUCAGAGAGUACUUCUUUGUAGCGUCCAAGGUAGGACGUCAUCCCUAUGCGUUCAAGUAGGCUUCUUUUCACUGUAGUUCAUUGGCUUGGUCUGUGAUCAAUUGAUCGAUUCUCCUGUGACAAGGUUUUGUUGCGCCAUACCCAGCUCUGACACUCACACUUCCUCAUCUGCAGAACAAUGGAGGUGGCCCUGUGGCUGCCCAUCACCCUGGGCCUGACAGGAGAAGCACUUUUGAAGUCUGUGCCAGCAGAAGAGAGUCUUGUCUGCUUUUUUGUUUUGUUUUGUUUUGUUUUGUUUUGUUUCUGUUUUUGUUUUUCU